rnacentral:lncRNA from 1 species
GAGUAAACUGGCGACAACCGUUUGCAGCAUUGCAACCCCUUGUCGGGUCAUUAACAGGUGGAGGGUGUGUCGAAGGAGCAUUAUUCCUCCUCCCAAAUGUGCCAUACUGUAAAGUUGGGGUUUUGGAACCCCCUUGUACCGGUUGAAUCAGCAGCAGCAAGCAGGGCAAGGCAAAAGCCAGUAUUGCUUUGGUUAACUUGUCACCCUUCUUCAAUUUCUUGGGCAAAGCAAGUCCAGACUGCAAAAAUAGAGAAAUAAAGUAAGUAAACACCAAAGUCGGACGAAAUCUGGGAAAGCGCAAGUGAUGAAGAGGGUGAUUUCAGACUUCUUUAAGCUGAGCCUCGUCAUCAACGUCAGAUAUCUCAACAUGUUUAUGGGAAAACAAAUGAAGGGAAAAAAAGGGUUCCUAGAUCUGAAACAGCGUGAUAAUAGAUUGUUGUUUUCUUUUUUCUUUUUUUUUUCUGUUCAGGCAAGGCCAUACCCAAAGCAAGCAAGGAAGGCCCUACAACAGCAAGUGAAAAGGUAAGAGAGGCUCCAUCAUACAAAAACACAGAAAAUUAAAACCCCAAAACAAGGGCUUCAGCCAUUAGAUUCAUUCACCUAAUGCGCUGAUUAAGCCAAGCAAAUGUCAAUGGAACAGUAUACCUUUCACAGCCUCAAAAAAUAAAGACAGGGAUAACCCAGACCUAAAACACAAAGGACCGAGAAGCGAUGUUAAUAAUUACCUUAUGAAGCUGAGAGAGGGUGUUGCUCUGAAUGGCAUUGAAUUUGGAUAUCAACAUCUUUAAAGUAACUGAAACUAAAAAACGAGAAUAUGAAGGGAAGAUUUAACAAUGGUCUUGGGACAGUGAUAUUUAUAGAUGUUGACUACCAAAGGGUUCUAGUUUUGUACGGAAAGUAAUUUUCCUGAAGUCGUGACAACUAAUCAAAGCUGACUGUGUGCCUUUUCAAACUACUAAUGCGGACAAAAUUGACAAAAUCAGGAAUAUAAGUUGAUUUCAAGAAUAAAUUAAGGAUAUUUGUACUUUUCACGAUGUUUCAAGUUGCUUUUUUUAAUUAAACCCCAAAAUAAGGGCUUAACCAAGCAAAUGUGAAUGGAGCAGUAUACCUCUCACAGCCGCAAAAAUCAAAGACCGGCAUAACCCAGACCUCAAGCAAAAAGGAUUGAGAAGCACGCAAAUCCAGACCCGCCAAAAGCCUCGGUUAGUCCAUCCCCAACCCGCAGAUUGGCCCCGCCGCACAACAACCAUUCGGGAGCCUCUGCCAGAAGAGAGCAGGAAAACGGAUUCAUUCCAAUCUCACCGCCCCAAGAGCGGAAAGGCAAAAAAAGGAAGAAGGUUCAUUGAACCGGGCCAAUUCGACUGCGGCUUUAUGAGACAUGACAGAGUAAUGACAAUAAUAAUAAUGGUGAUAGUUGUAUUUUUAUGAUAAUAAAUACCUUAUGAAGGUGAGAGAGGAUGAUCGUAUUUUAAUGUCAUCAUCUGGUAAUCGCUCUCAAAUUUUUAAAGUUUUCUUUUUAGAAUUUUUGUAAUUUUUUGAAAAAACAAAUUUUGAAAUUUUUAUAAGUAUUUUAAUUUUUUUAAAAAUUUUUGUUGAAAGAAUGACUAAUGUGCUCAUAUUCAAAAUUGAUGUUCAUGGGCCGAGGUAAAUCAAAAUUCUGGGCCCAAAAAUGAGCCUAAACUUUUACUCAAGUUUAGCUCGAACAAAAUUGCUAAAACUUGAGCCCCGCUAAUUUGCCCAUAUUAAAAUUUUUAUAUAAUUUUUAAAUAUAUAUAAUGCAGCAAAAAUAUUAGAAAUAUUAAAAUAAAUAUUUUCAAAUAAAUUAAAAAUAAAUUUUAAAAAUAUAUAUAUUUAAAUAACAUUAAGAUAGAUGCAACUUAACAAGCAAAUGCUUCUAAAAUAAUAACAAAAUUAACAAUAAAACACCUGUUAUACAAUAUCUAAACAAUAACAAGUACUAACAUAAUAGUAAAAUUGUAGCAAAAUAGGGAGAAACCAAGAAAAUAACAUUAAAACAGGAAAAAAAUAAUAAUUUUUUUGUCCAUUCGUGAAUUCGGGUUGAGUUGGGGCCAAAAAUACCUUAUUCGAGGCCCGACCUAUUUUUUUAAAUUAACCUCAUUUUUUUGCCUAAACCUUUUUAUUUUUCGAGCGGACCUUCGAGUCUAGUCGACAGGGACCAAAAGAAUAUUUACACAAAUUUAUCAUUUGAAUUAUUCAAAUUAUAAAAUUUAAUUAAACUUAAACUCAAAUAAUUUAAACAAUUCAAAAUUCGAAUUUCUAUUUUACUCAAUCUAUUGAAAAGUUUACCAUUCAAAUGUGAGGAACUGGUGAUUGCGAAUAUGAUAUUUUGAAAAGGUCGCAUCAAGUUGGUGUGAUAUAUUCUAGAAGCUUCCUAGUUAUUAACUGAGUCCUCUUUCUUUAUCCAUUAAAUCAAAAUGGUUGAAUGUACAGGUAAAAGGAAAACACACGCAACCAAUCAAACUCAUUUGUCAAAUGGAAUGUACGCUGAUUAACGUACACAUUGACAAAAAUGUUUUUUGAAAAAGAUUUUCAACAAAAAUGUGUCUUCUUUUCAUCAAAUCUAAUUGUUUUCCUUAAAUAGAAUUAUUUAUGGGUCGGAUUAUCUGAUCGGAUUGAAAUAUAAAAAAAAUUUAGGUAAAAAUAUAAAUUCGAAAAAUGAAUUUAAACAAAAAAAAUAAAGUUCGUUUUCUAAAUAAGUCGGAUCUCGGACCGGGCUCAGUUCAGCUCAGCCCAAAUUUGUAAAAAAAUAACUGUUGCUGUUUUACCACUGGUUUUUCAUUAUUUUGCUAUCAUUUCGUCAUUAUAUUACUACUAUUUUAUUGUUAUUAAGUUACACUUAUUUUAGUGUUAUUUAAGUAUUUUUUUAUUUUUUCCAUUUAUUGACAAACAUUUAUUUUAAUUUUUUAAUGCAUUUGAUGUAUUAUGUUUUUAAAAUUUAUUUUAUAUAAAAAUAAUAUAAAAAUUUUAAUGUCAGUCGGGUCGGGCUCAAGUUUUAGCAUUUUUAUUUGGGCCAGUCUUUGACAAAAUUUUAGACUCAUUUUUUAAGUCGGACUGAGCCUAAGCUUAAAAAAUGAGCCUAUUUUUUUAUUUGGCCCUGCCCAAACCCGACCCGGCCCAUGAACAACUCUAGUCCCAAAUUCGAUUAAUCUCAUAAAUAUAUUUAUAUAUAUAUUUAUUUUGUUUUGUUUCAAGCUUUGUUUUAAUUUUUAAUUAAUAAACAUUGUUUUCAAGUUUUUUAUUUUUAUUUCAUCUUUUUAACUAAUAACUCUUUUAUUUAUAUAAAUAAAUUAAUAAAUAUGUAAUUAUAUAAAAUAAACAUUUUUAUAUUUAUAAUUAUAUUAAAUAUAUUUUAUUUUUUAAAAAAUACCAACUACUUUUUUGACAUAUUUUUCUUUAUAUAUAAUUUUUAUAUGUCAAAUAUUUAUUUUCUUCACCUACAUUAUUAGUAUGGUGAGUUUUAAUAUUAUAAAAAUAAAUAAUUAUUUUAAAUAUCAUUAUUAUUUUUAUAUGUCAAAUAUUUAUUUUCUUCACCUACAUUAAUUAUUUUGCUAAAUAAUUAUUUUAUUUCAUAUAUCUCUAAUUAAUUCAGUUCCUAUUAUAUUUUGCUAAAUAAUUAUUUUAUUUCUUAUAUAUGAGAAAAAAAAUGCUUGGAAAUUUAUAAUCUUCAUAUUCACAUCACGUAAUAUCACAUUAUCAUGCUUUAACGGAAUCCAAAUUUAGGAUAUACAUAACUAUUAAAUCUUAAAACUAACGUGGAUUGAAGAAAAGCUUAAUGACUAUGAUUUUUUUAGAUAAAUUACCAAAUUUAAAAAUUAAAUGUUACUUUUAUCUAAAAGAAAUUUGUAGAAAAAUCAAAUUCUAUCAAAAUAAAACCAUACUUUCAACAUAGCAAACUCAACUCUUUUAAUUAUGAAAUUUUCAUAAACAUGAAUUUAAUUUAGGGUGAAUUAGAUCCAAUGUCAUUAAAAUAUUAUUAAGUUUACAUUUUAUCACUUAACUUUAAAGAGUUAUAAAAUGAUCACCGAACUCUUCGAAAGUUUUCAUUUAAGUCAUUGAACUAUUCAAAAAUUUUCAUUUAGGUCAUUAAACUCUUUGAAAGUUUUUAUUUAAAUUGCUAAAUUAUUCAAAAAUUCUCAUUUAGGUUAUUGAACUAUUCAAAAGUUUUUAUGUAAAUCACUGAGUUGUUAAGUUUUUUUUAAAGUCUAGCUAUCGAACUCUAAGCUAUUUGGAUUUCGAUCCGCAAGUUCGAGAAGUUUGAAGCUGUUCCAUGUAAAAAACUGAACUACAAGAAGUGCAAAUGGAGAAUGUCAUACAACAAUAAUUUUAACAACUUAGUGAUUUAAUUAAAAACUUUGAACAUUUUGUAACUUUUUGAAAUUAAGUAAUUAAAACAUAAACUUACUAAUAAUUUAAUGACUUUGGAAGCAAUGAAAGAAAAAAAACACUUAUAUAAUAUAUUACUUAAAAUUCACUGUAAAAUAUAAUUAAACAAUUUGAUAAAAUUUAAAUGAUUAUUAUUUAAACAUUUCACAUUAUUUAUAAUAAAUUGAAAAUAUAAGUAACACUUUAUUUAUCAUUUUUUACAUUCUUUUUUAGGGAUUGUUAAAUUUGUAUAAAAAAUUAAAUGACUGAAAUGUUGUAGCAUCAUUUUAAGGAUUCAAUUUAAAGAAAAAAAAAAUCAUUCGAAAAUUUGUCUAUUAUAAAAUAAUAACCAUAAUAAUAACCUCUCAAAUGAAAAAACGUCUAAGCUCAUACAUAUGGUAACAACACAACUACAUAAGAAAAAUGUAACACUUUAAACUCAAUACAAUCGUCGAGUCUGAAUCAUGAGAUGCCAUAUUCGUUACCAGAGUAGCUAUGGUCACAAAUUUCAAUCAAUUCCACAAUUUGUACCAAUGAAUAAGAUCAUCUUUAUAACCCAUUAUAUAUUCUAAUCUGGAGUUUAUCCGAUACGAAAACUCUUUCGUUAACUCAAGACUAUUUGAGACCCACAAUGCAAAGUUUUCAAAGUUUAUCGAGUUGGCAUCGCGACCAUGGAAGGCUCACAUUGCGCCAUCAACGGCAGAUGCUUGGCGUCACGACUUCAAUAAUGCAGUGUUGCGACUUCAAAUACAGUAGAUUGACAUCGCAACUUCAAGAAAGUGCAAUUGUUUUUCACUGGUUUCUCUCGCAACGCAUUUUUUCCUAACAGGAACAACAAUGCUAAACUAAGCUUCAGUGUCGAGAGGACUGUAAUAUAGUUUUAGCAGAUUCCAAGACGCGUAUAAUAUCAGCUUCCCCAAGACUGAUUUCAAGGCUAGUGAAGAACCUCAAGUCCACCAUGUUCGAUGUUGAAUUAACUUUUAUUUCAAUGUUUCCAUCUGCCGGAGGUAUCUUGGAGUUAUCUUCAGUUGACAUUGAUGUAUAACUGCAAAACAAAAUAACGGAGCUUAAAGAGUUUAAGCAAUCACUUGUUUACAAACUUCAUUUGAAAUAUUAUAAGAAUUCUCACACUUGCAGUCCCAUACGAGCAAUCCCUCGAGAAACAGCCUGCAAGCGAACUCAGAUAAGUAAACAAAUCAUUUGUAGCAAAGCAAAAAAGAGAACCCAUAUUUGAUAUAACAGAUGUAGUAGCCAUGGGAAAUGUUGAGAAGUAAUAUAUGAGUAGAUGGAAACAGAAAUUAAUGGAGGACUCACUUUCUUUAGAGAGUUUAUUUGCCGGGUUUAGGCAAUAGCACUUCCAAAAUACAACUAAACCUCACCUAAUGAGUUAUGCAAUUAGCAAUAUUAAACAACUCCUCAAUCUCUUUUUCUUGCUAACGAAUUUGUUGAAUGAACAUUAACUAUUGAAAGUUGAUAUUAAAGGAAACAAUCAAAGGAUGGAACUCCCUUUCAGAUACCUGUAGCUGCAACAUUUGUGAUGACACUGCAGCACUGGAAAUUGGGUCCUGUGAAAUGCUUAAUCGGCCAUAUGUAUUGCUAUUGGACUCAGUCUUGUUCAAGAACCAAGUGGCAAUCCCAGCAGCUAUGGCCUCGGUACCUGGCUCUCUGUGGUUCAAAGUUCCCUCCGCCACUGUAACAUUGCCAACAGCUUCAACUAGAGUUCCUCUGUAUCAACACUUUCAACAUCAGGGGAACAGUAUUGAAGGGAAAAUGAAUGAACUUUAACAUGGAUUUUCAUUUCAACCACCUGCGGUUUUCAAGACUCAGAGUAAACUGGCGACGACCAUUUGCGGCAUUGCAACCCCUUGUCGGGUCAUUAACAGGUGGAGGGUGUGUCGAAGGAGCAUUAUUCCUCCUCCCAAAUGUGCCAUACUGUAAAGUUGGGGUUUUGGAAGCCCCUUGUACUGGUUGAAUCAGCAGCAGCAAGCAGGGCAAGGUAAAAGCCAGUAUUGCUUUGGUUAACUU